rnacentral:rRNA from 1 species
GCGGAGGGAAAGAGGAGGAGGAGAAGGGAGAGACCGACGAGUGUCCCCUCCAGGACGCGCGAGGCUUCCCCUGAUCCGCCCCCUCCCACCUGAAGCUUGACCAACCCCUUUAAACAACCUAGUGUGCUUGUUGCAUCAUGUGUAUCUUUGUUAACAAACAACAACGAGAAACAACUUACAACAAUGGAUCUCUAGGCUCUUGCAUCGAUGAAGAACGCAGCCAAACGCGAAAUGUGUUAUGACUUGCAAUCUUCGCGAAUCAUCUAAUCUUUGAACGCAACUUGCACCCUCGGGCUUGUCCCUUGGGUAUACUUGUUUGAGUAUCGUCUAUGCUCUCACACCGCGCGUGCGUGUCUCUUGUGAUACGCGCACGUGUGAAUGUGGAUUUGAGGCCUGUGCAGGGAGAGGGGUAUCACACGGGGCAACUUGUGUGACAUCUCCUCUUGCUGCUGCUUCCAAAGACAUGGUCUCUUAUGCUCUUCAUGAGCAGCCAAUAGACAAGCCGCGCCUGGGUGGUGUGUGGGUGGUGACACUCACGCCCUCCUGGGAGCCAACUUGGGAUAACGUCCAUCAAGUUUGGUUGUGCUUGUCUCACGGCAGAAGGCCAAAGGAAAGCGCUUGUGGGUCACGUCGCGUCUCGAGAGGGACGGGAUGUGGCUCAU